GCACAACGCGAAGAACCUUACCAAGGCUUGACAUCCCCUUGACCAGUGCAGAGAUGUACUCUUCUCUUCGGAGACAAGGGAGACAGGUGGUGCAUGGUUGUCGUCAGCUCGUGUCGUGAGAUGUUGGGUUAAGUCCCGCAACGAGCGCAACCCUUAUCCUUAGUUGCCAGCAAGUAAAGUUGGGCACUCUAAGGAGACUGCCGGUGAUAAACCGGAGGAAGGUGGGGAUGACGUCAAAUCAUCAUGCCCCUUAUGUCUUGGGCUACACACGUGCUACAAUGGUCGGUACAACGGGCAGCAAAGGAGCGAUCCCAAGCGAAUCCCAAUAAACCGAUCCCAGUUCGGAUUGUAGGCUGCAACUCGCCUACAUGAAGUCGGAGUUGCUAGUAAUCGCGAAUCAGAACGUCGCGGUGAAUGCGUUCCCGGGUCUUGUACACACCG
rnacentral:rRNA from 1 species